GUCCACGCCGUAAACUAUGAGAGCUAGCCGUUGGGGAGUUUACUCCUCAGUGGCGCAGCUAACGCAUUAAGCUCUCCGCCUGGGGAGUACGGUCGCAAGAUUAAAAACUCAAAGGAAUUGACGGGGGCCCGCACAAGCGGUGGAGCAUGUGGUUUAAUUCGAAGCAACGCGAAGAACCUUACCAGCCCCUUGACAUGCCAGGACGACUUCCAGAGAUGGAUUUCUUCACUUCGGUGACCUGGACACAGGUGCUGCAUGGCUGUCGU
rnacentral:rRNA from 1 species